AUAUAUUAAUAUAUUAUAUUUGAUAAAAGAUGAAAGUGUUCAUCUUUUUAUUCUCAUUUGGCCGAAACUAAGAGAAAGAAAAAGAAAGUCUAAGCUUUGGUAUUUUCGGUCCUUGCAAAUUCAAUUAGAUCAAGAACCAAAAAGAUCGGACGUGGAUCGGGGAAAAUCAAAAAUCGUUGAGUAGUCAAACUCAACUGUCCGUCGAUAUCCGAGAUUUUGGAAAUCGUUACGUGCUCGGGGAUCGUUAGUAAAGUCAUCCACACUAUCUUCAAUAUUUUGGUACUUUUAAAAGUUGGUUCGGUACUUAUGGCAUGUAUAAGCUAAUAACUCUUUUGGAGAUGUUUAAAUUUCAUAUAUGUUUAAUGGUUAAGUCAUGCGAAAAUGACUUAAUUUACAUGUAAAAGUUUGGUUAUAUUUGGUUGUGGUUUGAGUUUGCCUUUAUUUGUGAUGUCUAAAUUAUGUGCAUUUGUUUAUAGUAAUGAUCAAUAUGGUAUAUAUAUGUUGUGGUAA